UAGAGUUUGAUCCUGGCUCAGAUCUUCGCUGGCGGCAGGCCUAACACAUGCAAGUCGAGCGGCAGCGGGAAAGUAGCUUGCUACUUUUGCCGGCGAGCGGCGGACGGGUGAGUAAUGCCUGGGGAUCUGCCCGGUCGAGGGGGAUAACUACUGGAAACGGUAGCUAAUACCGCAUACGCCCUACGGGGGAAAGCAGGGGACCUUCGGGCCUUGCGCGAUUGGAUGAACCCAGGUGGGAUUAGCUAGUUGGUGAGGUAAUGGCUCACCAAGGCGACGAUCCCUAGCUGGUCUGAGAGAAUGAUCAGCCACACUGGAACUGAGACACGGUCCAGACUCCUACGGGAGGCAGCAGUGGGGAAUAUUGCACAAUGGGGGAAACCCUGAUGCAGCCAUGCCGCGUGUGUGAAGAAGGCCUUCGGGUUGUAAAGCACUUUCAGCGAGGAGGAAAGGUUGGUAGCUAAUAACUGCCAGCUGUGACGUUACUCGCAGAAGAAGCACCGGCUAACUCCGUGCCAGCAGCCGCGGUAAUACGGAGGGUGCAAGCGUUAAUCGGAAUUACUGGGCGUAAAGCGCACGCAGGCGGUUGGAUAAGUUAGAUGUGAAAGCCCCGGGCUCAACCUGGGAAUUGCAUUUAAAACUGUCCAGCUAGAGUCUUGUAGAGGGGGGUAGAAUUCCAGGUGUAGCGGUGAAAUGCGUAGAGAUCUGGAGGAAUACCGGUGGCGAAGGCGGCCCCCUGGACAAAGACUGACGCUCAGGUGCGAAAGCGUGGGGAGCAAACAGGAAAAGAUCCCCUGGUAGUCCACGCCGU
rnacentral:rRNA from 1 species